rnacentral:rRNA from 1 species
AUUGAACGCUGGCGGCACGCCUUACACAUGCAAGUCGAACGGUAACAGGUCCUCGGAUGCUGACGAGUGGCGAACGGGUGAGUAAUACAUCGGAACGUGCCCGAGAGUGGGGGAUAACGAGGCGAAAGCUUUGCUAAUACCGCAUACGAUCUCAGGAUGAAAGAAGGGGACCGCAAGGCCUUGCGCUCACGGAGCGGCCGAUGGCAGAUUAGGUAGUUGGUGGGAUAAAAGCUUACCAAGACGACGAUCUGUAGCUGGUCUGAGAGGACGACCAGCCACACUGGGACUGAGACACGGCCCAGACUCCUACGGGAGGCAGCAGUGGGGAAUUUUGGACAAUGGGCGCAAGCCUGAUCCAGCCAUGCCGCGUGCAGGAUGAAGGCCUUCGGGUUGUAAACUGCUUUUGUACGGAACGAAAAGACUCUGGUUAAUACCUGGGGUCCAUGACGGUACCGUAAGAAUAAGCACCGGCUAACUACGUGCCAGCCGCCGCAGUAACAC